GAAAAAGUGGUUUUGAUGUACUGUGAGAAGAAAAGCAGGCUGUUAUGUUUGCAGGCCCCACACUCGAGUGCUCUCACCCCUCCAGUGGCGUGAUCUCAGAUAAUUGCAACCUCUGCCUUUCAGGUUCAAGCAGUUCUUCUGCCUCAGCCUCCCAAGUAGCUGGGAUUACAGGCAUACACCACCACGCCUGGCUAAUUUUUGUAUUUCUAGUAGAGACGGGGUUUCACCAUGUUGGUCAAAUGACACAAGGGCCAGAAAAGCAGGGCCAUGUCUAUUUUGAGAUCAUUUCAGCCACACUUUUGGGUGACCUAUUUAGAAACAGUGCUCUAUAAUGCAUGGAAUUAAAAAUGGGCUGCACGUUAACAUUUUUAGCUCAGAACAUGUUGGUCAAGCCACAUUUAUCAUCAUUCUGUCACAGAGUUGUGAUUGAGGGCUGCUUAGGAGCACAGUGUUGAGGGCAAC
rnacentral:lncRNA from 1 species